AUAUCUACAUCCAACCUGCUUUUAUCAAGUUCGCCAUAUUUCACUACGAUCACUCUAGCACGACCUUCCUUAAUAGCUUGAGUAUGAGCAGUUUUAAAUUCUUGUAUGCCCCAAACGCUGUCUAAGAAGUUAUUCGAAAGAACAACCAAGGUUCUUCUAGAAUUCAUAACGGAAUACUCAACAUUCGUCAAUAUCGUCUCACCGGGUUUCCAAUCUCUGAUGUGAAUGCAAGUUCUGAGUGGUUGAAGAACUGGAAGUAGAUUGUGGAGGACAAAUUCUUCAUCUUGGUG